AUUGAACGCUGGCGGCAGGCCUAACACAUGCAAGUCGAACGAGUGGCGGACGGGUGAGUAAUGUCUGGGAAACUGCCUGAGGGAGGGGGAUAACUACUGGAAACGGUAGCUAAUACCGCAUACCAUCAGAUGUGCCCAGAUGGGAUUAGCUAGUUGGUGGGGUAACGGCUCACCAAGGCGAAUAUCCCUAGCUGGUCUGAGAGGAUGACCAGCAACACUGGAACUGAGACACGGUCCAGACUCCUAGGGGAGGCAGCAGUGGGGAAUAGUGCACAAUGGGGGCAAGCCUGAUGCAGCAUUGCCGCGUGUAUGAAGAAGGCCGUCGGGUUGGAAAGUACUUGCAGCGGGGAGGCGUUACCCUCAGAAGAAGCACCGGCUAACUCCGUGCCAGCAGCCGCGGUAAUAC
rnacentral:rRNA from 1 species